rnacentral:tRNA from 1 species
ACUAUUUUGUCAGAUAAUAUGUGCUAGAUUUAGGAUUUAGUUAAAUAGAAGAAAUUUCUAUAAAUAGUA